AAUAUUGGACAAUGGGCGAAAGCCUGAUCCAGCCAUGCCGCGUGGGUGAAGAAGGUCUUCGGCUUGUAAAGCACUUUACGCUGGGAGGCAGGGCAGUGAGUUAAUACCUUGCUGUUUUGACGUUACCGACAGAAUAAGCACCGGCUAACCUGUUGCCAGCAGCCACGGUAAUACGAAGGGUGGAAGCGUUAAUCGGAAUUACUGGGAGUAAAGCGCGCGUAGGUGGUUCGUUAAAUUGGAAGUGAAAGCCCCGGGCUCAACCUGGGAACUGCUUUCAAAACUGGCAAGCUAGAGUAUGGCAGAGGGUGGUGGAAUUUCCUGUGUAGCGGUGAAAUGCGUAGAUAUAGGAAGGAACACCAGUGGCGAAGGCGACCACCUGGGCUAAUACUGACACUGAGGUGCGAAAGCGUGGGGAGCAAACAGG
rnacentral:rRNA from 1 species